UAUGUGACCUGUCGGAGGAUCAUUG
rnacentral:rRNA from 1 species